rnacentral:rRNA from 1 species
AUACAUCGGAACGUGUCCAGUCGUGGGGGAUAACCAGUCGAAAGACUGGCUAAUACCGCAUGAGAUCGAGAGAUGAAAGCAGGGGACCGCAAGGCCUUGCGCGAUUGGAGCGGCCGAUGUCGGAUUAGCUUGUUGGUGAGGUAAAAGCUCACCAAGGCGACGAUCCGUAGCUGGUUUGAGAGAACGACCAGCCACACUGGGACUGAGACACGGCCCAGACUCCUACGGGAGGCAGCAGUGGGGAAUUUUGGACAAUGGGGGCAACCCUGAUCCAGCCAUGCCGCGUGUGUGAAGAAGGCCUUCGGGUUGUAAAGCACUUUCGGACGGAACGAAAUCGCGUCGGUGAAUAUCCGGCGUGGAUGACGGUACCGUAAGAAGAAGCACCGGCUAACUACGUGCCAGCAGCCGCGGUAAUACGUAGGGUGCGAGCGUUAAUCGGAAUUACUGGGCGUAAAGCGUGCGCAGGCGGUUUCGCUAGUCAGACGUGAAAGCCCCGGGCUUAACCUGGGAAUGGCGUUUGAAACUACGAGACUUGAGUAUGGCAGAGGGAGGUGGAAUUCCACGUGUAGCAGUGAAAUGCGUAGAUAUGUGGAGGAACACCGAUGGCGAAGGCAGCCUCCUGGGCCAAUACUGACGCUCAUGCACGAAAGCGUGGGGAGCAAACAGGAUU